CAGUAUAUAAAAACAAGUCAACGCUUGAUGUGGCGCUUCUUAAGUGUGGUGGAAUAGAUCAAAAUCAACAUUUUCAAUCGAAUGAAUGCAUUCGUUCAAGAUUCGGCUUUUCUGUCUUAAUUAAACAGCUAGCGGACUCCCGACGGCGUUUUCCUCAACAAUAUUGCUUUCAACUGAAAACGAGCAAAAAAAUUUGUUGAGUACGAGGGUAGUUUUUGAUGACGUCUUACAGCGAGACUGUUUACUCGGACGUUGUGGCAGACGUUACAGUUCAUCUUGUGCGGUGUCUACACAGCUUCUCUUAUAAGAUCAACUGCGGUUGUCCGCUAUGACCAAGCCGAAUAGAAAAAUUUUCUUAUACUCGAGUACACGAAUGGACUUAUCACACCUUAAAUCUCAUACUGGCGACCGGCGGGGCUGCGUAAGGUAUUCCGAGAAAGGCAAUCAGGCCCCGUUGC